ACCCGCUGAACUUAAGCAUAUCAAUAAGCGGAGGAAAAGAAACCAACAGGAUUGCCCUAGUAACGGCGAGUGAAGCGGCAACAGCUCAAAUUUGAAAUCUGGCCUCGGCCCGAGUUGUAAUUUGCAGAGGAUGAUUUUGGCGCGGUGCCUUCCGAGUUCCCUGGAACGGGACGCCACAGAGGGUGAGAGCCCCGUAUGGUCGGACACCAAGCCUGUGUAAAUCUCCUUCGACGAGUCGAGUAGUUUGGGAAUGCUGCUCAAAAUGGGAGGUAAAUCUCUUCUAAAGCUAAAUAUUGGCCAGAGACCGAUAGCGCACAAGUAGAGUGAUCGAAAGAUGAAAAGCACCUUGAAAAGGGGGUUAAACAGUACGUGAAAUUGUUGAAAGGGAAGGGCUCGUGACCAGACUUGUGCCAGGCGGCUCAUCCGGCGUUCUCGCCGGUGCACUCCGCCUGGCUCAGGCCAGCAUCGGUUCUUGCCGGGGGAUAAGAGCUUCGGGAACGUGGCCCCCUUCGGGGGGUGUUAUAGCCCGUCGCACGAUGCCCUGGCGGGGACCGAGGUUCGCGCUCCGCAAGGAUGCUGGCGUAAUGGUCACCAACCACCCGUCUUGAAACACGGACCAAGGAGUCGUCCAUCAGAGCGAGCGUUUGGGUGUAAAACCCGCACGCGUAAUGAAAGUGAACGCAGGUGAGAGCUUCGGCGCAUCAUCGACCGAUCCUGAUGUAUUCGGAUGGAUUUGAGUAAGAGUUUUGCUGGACGGACCCGAAAGACAGUGAACUAUGCUUGUAUAGGGUGAAGCCAGAGGAAACUCUGGUGGAGGCUCGCAGCGGUUCUGACGUGCAAAUCGAUCGUCAAAUAUGAGCAUGGGGGCGAAAGACUAAUCGAACUGUCUAGUAGCUGGUUACCGCCGAAGUUUCCCUCAGGA
rnacentral:rRNA from 1 species